rnacentral:RNase_P_RNA from 1 species
GGCGGGAUAGGAAAGUCCGGGCAACACAGAGCACCAUGCUUCCGAAAGGGAAGAUGUCCGCAAGGGCAUAGUUCUGGAACAGAAAACAACUACCCCGCCUUCCGCGGGGAAAAGGUGAAAAGGUGAGGUAAGAGCUCACCAGCAUUCCGGGUGACCGGGAUGGCUGUGCAGACUCAUGGGUUGCAAGGCCAUGUAUACCGGCAUUUGAGGGUUGCUCGCCCGAGGCCGGGGGGUAGGCCGCUGAGAUAAAUGAUGGAAGUCCCGCCUUGCGGGAUGACAGAACCUGGCUUACAGACCUGCUGUA